rnacentral:rRNA from 1 species
UACGAAGGGGGCUAGCGUUGUUCGGAAUUACUGGGCGUAAAGCGUAUGCAGGCGGAUCGUUAAGUCGGGGGUGAAAUCCCGAGGCUCAACCUCGGAACUGCCUUCGAUACUGGCGACCUUCGAGUCCGGGAGAGGUGAGUGGAACUCCGAGUGUAGAGGUGAAAUUCGUAGAUAUUCGGAAGAACACCAGUGGCGAAGGCGGCUCACUGGCCCGGUACUGAUGCUGAGAUACGAAAGCGUGGGGAGCAAACAGG